rnacentral:sRNA from 1 species
UUUCGCCUCGUGAGCGAGGGGUGGCCUC